GAUGAACGCUGGCGGCGUGCCUAAUACAUGCAAGUCGAGCGAACGGACGAGAAGCUUGCUUCUCUGAUGUUAGCGGCGGACGGGUGAGUAACACGUGGAUAACCUACCUAUAAGACUGGGAUAACUUCGGGAAACCGGAGCUAAUACCGGAUAAUAUUUUGAACCGCAUGGUUCAAAAGUGAAAGACGGUCUUGCUGUCACUUAUAGAUGGAUCCGCGCUGCAUUAGCUAGUUGGUAAGGUAACGGCUUACCAAGGCAACGAUGCGUAGCCGACCUGAGAGGGUGAUCGGCCACACGGGAACUGAGACACGGUCCAGACUACUACGGGAGGCAGCAGUAGGGAAUCUUCCGCAAUGGGCGAAAGCCUGACGGAGCAACGCCGCGUGAGUGAUGAAGGUCUUCGGAUCGUAAAACUCUGUUAUUAGGGAAGAACAAAUGUGUAAGUAACUAUGCACGUCUUGACGGUACCUAAUCAGAAAGCCACGGCUAACUACGUG
rnacentral:rRNA from 1 species